rnacentral:rRNA from 1 species
CCUACGGGAGGCAGCAGUGAGGAAUAUUGGACAAUGGACGAGAGUCUGAACCAGCCAAGUAGCGUGAAGGAUGACUGCCCUAUGGGUUGUAAACUUCUUUUAUAAAGGAAUAAAACGAGGCACGUGUGCCUUUUUGCAUGUACUUUAUGAAUAAGGAACGGCUAACUCCGUGCCAGGAGCCGCGGUAAUACGGAGGAUCCGAGCGUUAUCCGGAUUUAUUGGGUUUAAAGGGAGCGUAGAUGGGUUGUUAAGUCAGUUGUGAAUGUUUGCGGCUCAACCGUAAAAUUGCAAUUGAUACUGGCAGUCUUGAGUACAGUUGAGGUAGGCGGAAUUCGUUGUGUAGCGGUGAAAUGCUUAGAUAUCACGAAGAACCCCGAUUGCGAAGGCAGCUUACUAAACUGUGACUGACAUUGAUGCUCGAAAGUGUGGGUAUCAAACAGGAUUAGAUACCCCUGUAGUC